CCCCACCUCCCAUUCCAAUACUAGGCAUAUGAGUCUGAGUGGAAGAAACUAAUUAGAUUGGGUGGGGCAUAAUACUCUUUGGUUUAGGCAUGUUAGCUUUCUCCAGGAGCCAAGGACCACAGCUGAGAUCUUAUCUAGCACAUCCUUGCUUUGCUCGGGUACUUUGUGGCUGUUCUCAUUUCCUGGUUCCAGCAGCUAAUGGGGCUAAGCUUAAGAUGCAGGUUACAUCUCAAGGGGGGUGAGGGGCAUGACCCUGAUGAGCUGAACUCCCAGGAUCCUUUCAACACCAGCAAGCAACUGAACUCGGAAGGCAAUGGCUGGAGAGAAACAGGCAGAGGAAGGACUGAAGGACAGAAGGACAUGUCCCCGAUCGCCUACCUCGCAACAGUUCCCAAGAGAUGCUCUCUGAGCCACCUCUGUGGAAAACAACAACUUAGAAAAGACAGAAGUGAAUUGAAAGACCUUUUCCAGGUUUGGGGCCAAGAGACUCUCAGAAUAGUCUCGACAAACAGGUGAGAAGCAGACAUGGUGCUGGAGAAGCAGCUGAGACUUCUACAUUCAGAUCUGCUGACAACGGGGAGAGAAUGAGACACCGGGCAUGGCCUAAGCAUCUGAGACCUCAAAUCCCACCCCCAGUGACAAACUUUCUCCAACAAAGCCACACCCACUCCAACAAGGCCACACCUCCUAAUAGUGCCUACUCCCUAUGGGCCUAUGGGGGCCAUUUUCACUCAAAUCAUCACAGCGUACUGUAAGUGUGCAUGUGUGGUACUGGGGACUGAACCUGGUGCCUCAUACAUGGUUCA
rnacentral:lncRNA from 1 species